rnacentral:rRNA from 1 species
ACUCAAAUGAAUUGACGGGGGCCCGCACAAGCGGUGGAGCAUGUGGUUUAAUUCGAUGCAACGCGAAGAACCUUACCUAGACUUGACAUCCACUGACCGUUCUAGAAAUAGAUCUUUCCCUUCGGGGACAGUGAGACAGGUGCUGCAUGGCUGUCGUCAGCUCGUAUCGUGAGAUGUCGGGUUAAGUCCCUUAACGAGCGCAACCCUUAUCAUUAGUUGCCAUCAUUUAGUUGGGCACUCUACUGAGACUGCCGGUGUUAAACCGGAGGAAGGUGGGGAUGACGUCAAGUCCUCAUGGCCUUUAUGUCUAGGGCUACACACGUGCUACAAUGGCCGGUACAAAGGGCUGCUAACCCGCGAGGGGGAGCUAAUCCCAUAAAGCCGGUCUCAGUUCGGAUUGAAGUCUGCAACUCGACUUCAUGAAGCUGGAAUCGCUAGUAAUCGCGGAUCAGAACGCCGCGGUGAAUACGUUCCCGGGCCUUGUACACACCGCCCGU